rnacentral:tRNA from 1 species
UAAGAUGUAGUGUUUUGUUAAAAAUAUUUGGCCGUUAACCAGAAGAAAUCAUUGUUUCGAUUAUCUUAU